rnacentral:lncRNA from 1 species
CCUGGGGGUAGUCUGCCUUGGGAAAGUCCCAUAGUGUCCUGCCUUGUUCAACUUAAAGUAGCCUCCUCUCCCACCUUGCAUCCCUUGAAAUACUUGAAGAGAGCCACUAGGUUCCACUCUAUGUCUGUUCAUUUUCAUGUGACACACCCUCUGGCCCUCAGUGAAUCAUUUGCAUAAAGUGGUUUCUAGACUCUUCAUCACGAAACCUGGUUCCUGAAUCGAUGCUAGUUGGCUGACAGUUGCUACUGGGAACCCUAUAUACAUAGGAUACAAUGCUUCCUGCAACUGAAAGCACCUUCCUGCACAUAAGAACCUUCUAUUCCUUCAUUCAUGGGUAAGAAUCCCCUCUGCAAACAUGGUGACCAGGAGCUGGGAAACAGAUCCCCGGGUCCCGGAGACAGCGGCUACACCGCACAGGGCAGACGACCCGACUCCAACUGAACAGGUACGGCUGAAAGAGACCUCACGUGCCCUGGGUGGCACUGCACUGACCGACAGCUCUCAUCCCACAUUUGCCUGAACCCAGAGAAUGACAACGCCAAGAGCGAGCCCUGCUGCAGACCGUGGACUCUGGUCGUCUGGGUAGGUUCUGAGUGUGUGUGUGGGGGGGGGGGGGGCGCGUUGGUAAUGGGGAGACUGUGCGAGCGGGGACAUGGGUGGACUUUAUUGGGAACCCCUGGACUUUCCUGUCCAUGUUGCUGUGAACCUUCAACUGCACCAAAAACUAAAAUCUAUUAAAAAAUACGUUAUAACCGCCACUUAGGAUAAUGCAGAUUUUCUUGCUCUUUCCAGAACCUCCAGAGACAGCUGUAAGAAAAUGAAUUGACUUUUGCUCAAAACACAGAAAUCCUCAGAACCAAAAAUAAUCCCAGGAAGGAAAUAAAAUACAAGACACGCAGAACUCCGCA